UGCAUAAAACAAGGCACUAAGUUUGUAAGCUUUGAGCUUUGCAUUUGGCUUAGCUUGAUGGCUCAUUGAGAGCUGAAGAAGCUGUUGCUAGGAGUGGUUAUGCAGCGUCUUGAGCAUGAAGCCGUUUGGAGUGCCAAGGAAGGCAAGAUAAGAACGUUCUAUUAAAAGCAAAGUUGCAGUUUGUUUGCAUGCUAUCGUUUGAAGAAGAAGACUCACCAGAAAUAUUGUUUUUUAUUGGUUGGAAGAAAUCUGGGCUAACCACAGGAGUUCACCCUGUCCCAUGGAUUUAAACCAUAGAACUUUUGGUCAGCAAGUUCUGCAGCUUAGCGGUUUAACCACUGCACCACUGCGGCCCCUUACAUGUGGUCAUGGGGUUGAUGAUGAUGUCAGCAAAGGUGCCCUCCAAAGGCCACAAACUUUCCAGGAUUCCUUGGCUGCCUUGCGACAGAAACAGCAAAGCUCUGAGGCCUUUGGCUGAAGUUUCAGGACCUUACUAUGCCUCUUUGGAUUUCCAGAUUCCUUGGGCAUGUUGUACUUCGAUCAAGUCUGCUCUCCACUUGUGGCAGAGCAGCGGAAGUCCAGGAAGGUGGGAUUACACAGAAGUAUGACUGCAGGACCACACACUGGGAAUUCAAAGUAAUUUUGUAAAUGAAGAGUGGUGCAAUAGUGAAGGUGCUCAGCCUGACAUGCAUGUGAUUGCACAACCACAAUGGAAUAGCAGCUUUGUACAAUAAAUAUCCUAGCGUUAAGAAGCAGAGAGAUAUUUUAUCACAUCUAAGUAGCCUACUGCUGUCAAGGAUUAGACAAGGUUCACAAUUACAUUGCCAGAAUUGAACAGAAGCUGGUUCCACACAGGGGAAUACUGCAGUCCAACCAGGUUUUACAAACCCGGGUCAGGCCAGACUUCUGUCCCCACACUAGCAGAAAAUUUCUCCUGUCCCCCCUUCUCAUGAUGCGUCAUGGGGAGUGGGGGAGGUGGUAACAGCCCUCUGAGUUUUCCGGGCUCAUGGAAAUAAGUUUUCCUUCUUUGUGCCAAACUAAUUCACUUUUACUCAAGGUGUCAUUUGGACACCCAGGUAAAAGUGCGGGAGCUCCUGCUUUUUGCGAACUUUCUGCAUAUGACUUAAGAUUCAAUUACCAGUUUGUUUCGCUUUCCUUUUGCGGUAUGACAGAGAGGGGUGCCAUCUUGCCUCUGGCAGCAAGAUGUCUUUGUAAGCCCUGUACCUUCUGUCUUAUAAAGAGAUUUGUGACUUCUAGAAAGUGCUUACAAAAAUUAAAUAAAUCUUCCAUCUAUCUUUUCUUAAAAGAGGCAUGCAGAGGUAUGCCGUUAGCUGUAUGUAAAACAAUGCCACUUUGAUUUAUGUACAAGAUAUACAUUUUCUAAAAAAUGUGUGAACCAAAUAAUUUCACUCAAACUAAAAAGAGUAGGAAUGCUCUAAAAGCCCAUAACAACAAGUAUGUCUGUUUAGUGGGGAAACUCAUUGUAACCUGAAUUCUUCCACUCUUAAAGAUGAGUGGUAUGGUCUCAUAAAUGAGCACAAUAAACUAAUUUAAAUCUGAUUUAGUAAUAUAAACUUCUGAACCAUUUAUAGCAGUUACAAUGAGAACAGCUUGUUAAUUGACAUUGGGAAAGGACUGUUUGUUAAAUGUAAUCUGAAUUGCAAACGCAAAAGCAGCUCAAUUAAAAUUUUAGCAUGUUGGAGUGAAAAAGGUCUAACCAUCUAAAUUGUUAAAAGUUAAUUAUAAGGAAGAGGUCCAUUGUAGGAUCUUUACAGGUGACAAAGACAAGACUGCUUACUCUUUAAAAAUAAAUCCACAUGUAUAAAUUGUAAUUUAUGACCCUGGAAUUUUUAGUAACACUAGAGGACAGAGAAUAUGACUCUGUCCUAAAAUAUGAUUCCUACAUUUCUAUUGCUGCAGAGCACCAUAGGGAGGGACUGAGGGAACAAGGAAGGGAGGACCUUGCUCCCUCACCUCUCCUUCGUGUGACUACUACUAUUCCCUCUUCCAUUUCCACCCUAGCUCCAACAUCAUUGGCAGCAGUGUCUACAUGAGAUCACUGCACCAGU